UACGUAGGGGGCAAGCGUUGUCCGGAAUCAUUGGGCGUAAAGAGCGUGUAGGCGGCCCGGUAAGUAGGGGGUGAAAUCCUGCGGCUUAACCGCAGGGCUGCCUUCUAAACUGUCAGGCUCGAGCACGGUAGAGGCAGAUGGAAUUCCCGGUGUAGCGGUGGAAUGCGUAGAGAUCGGGAAGAACAUCAGUGGCGAAGGCGGUCUGCUGGGCCGUUGCUGACGCUGAGGCGCGACAGCGUGGGGAGCAAACAGG
rnacentral:rRNA from 1 species